GACAGAGGUGCCAAGCGUUAGGCGGAAUCACUGGGCUUAAAGCGUGUGUAGGCGGAUUUGUAAGUACCUUGUGAAAUCCCACAGCUCAACUGUGGAACUGCUGGGUAUACUGCUUACUCUUGAGCCACUUAGGGGCUGUCGGAAACAAAUGGUGGAGCGGGUGAAAUGCGUAGAUAUCAUUUGGAACGCCAACGGUGAAAAACAGACAGCUGGGAGUGUGCUGACGCUGAGACACGAAAGCCAGGGGGAGCGAACGGG
rnacentral:rRNA from 1 species